AACGAACGCUGGCGGCAUGCCUAACACAUGCAAGUCGAACGAGAUCUUCGGGUCUAGUGGCGCACGGGUGCGUAACGCGUGGGAAUCUGCGCUUUGGAUCGGAAUAACAGGUGGAAACGACUGCUAAUACCGGAUGAUGACGAAAGUCCAAAGAUUUAUCGCCAGAGGAGGAGCCAGCGUAGGAUUAGCUAGUUGGUGUGGUAAAGGCGCACCAAGGCGACGAUCCUUAGCUGGUCUGAGAGGAUGAUCAGCCACACUGGGACUGAGACACGGCCCAGACUCCUACGGGAGGCAGCAGUGGGGAAUAUUGGACAAUGGGCGAAAGCCUGAUCCAGCAAUGCCGCGUGAGUGAUGAAGGCCUUAGGGUUGUAAAGCUCUUUUACCCGGGAUGAUAAUGACAGUACCGGGAGAAUAAGCUCCGGCUAACUCCGUGCCAGCCGCCGCCGUAA
rnacentral:rRNA from 1 species